rnacentral:misc_RNA from 1 species
GGGAAGUACAAUGUUCCAAGGGAUUAGACGUUAUAAUAUUUGUAACUUAAAUACAUGUUCUGUGAUUUCUUCGUAAUAAUAACUUAAGAUGUAAAUUUAUUCAUCUUAUAGUUUAGUUUCUUCGUCGAUACAAAAUCAGAUCAAAUUGUGCAAUUUUUGAAGGGGAAAAAUCUCCUUUAAAUACCUAUCUAGUAACAUAAACUUGCCUUCCCCAUCCACAUAAGAAGGGCGAAUGAUUCGUUUUCCAAAGCGAGAUGAAUGACUCAUUAGUAGGGGAGACAACGAUUCAAGAGCUACCAAAUAAGAAAAAUUCUACGGCUCCCUCAUCAAGCCAUUUCUUUCAGGUCGAACAACUUACAUUUCUAUGGAUUCUUUUAAUACUCAUUGUGAUAGGAAAUGCAACAGUUUUGUUGGCUCUUGCAGUCUCCAAGGGUCGAAAGUCCCGGAUGAAUUUUUUUAUACGGCAUUUGGCAAUUACAGAUCUAUGUGUUGGUUUGAUUAGUGUAAUGACAGACAUAGUCUGGAAGAUUACCAUCUCAUGGGAAGCAGGAUUGUUGGCUUGUAAACUCAUUCGUUUUUCUCAAGCCGUUGUAACCUAUGCUUCAACAUAUGUGUUGGUGGCUCUGAGCAUAGAUCGCUAUGAUGCCAUUACUCAUCCUAUGAAUUUUUCGGGUAGUUGGAGGAGAGCAAAGGUGUUGAUCAUUCUGGCUUGGGCAUUAAGUAUCAUUUUUUCCGCUCCAAUCCUUCAUUUCUAUACGACAAAGGAAACUCAAGAUUACGGAACACAAUGUUGGAUAGAUUUUGAUCAAAAGUGGCAUUGGAAAUUGUACAUGACGCUAGUGUCUGUGAGCUUAUUUGUAAUUCCAGCUUUUAUUAUUGCGGGUUGUUAUUUUAUCAUUGUCAGAACCAUUUGGAAGAAAAGCAAAGAAGUCAUCACCUCGGCAUCAUCCCUCUACAAAAGACAAGAUCGUCACAAGAGUGAUGGAGGAGUUGAAAGUGAAACCAGAAGAGCAAGUUCUCGUGGACUCAUUCCCAAGGCUAAGGUUAAAACCAUAAAAAUGACAUUCGUUAUCAUUUUUGUUUUUAUUCUUUGUUGGAGCCCGUAUAUUGUGUUUGAUAUGCUUCAAGUCUAUGGAUGCAUUCCAGACAGCCCAACCAAUAGAGCUAUUGCUACUUUUAUUCAAAGUCUGGCUCCACUCAACUCUGCUGCAAAUCCCAUCAUUUAUUGUCUUUUUUCAGCGAAUAUGGGAAGUUGUAUUCAGACUUUAAUGGGACGAAAGGAUCAGUCCCAUUCCAGGAGUUAUAAUACAACUUCCAUGCUAAAGGAAGGGAAGCGGCCUGCGGCCGGGAAAAACAAUUCACUUUCAUCAUGGACGGGUCUGACCACAACAACGACGACAGAGGAUAGAUUGCAAUAUAAAAUAGAGUAAAGGAAGUGUGCAUGACUUGAAUGAGCUAGGGACAAACACGUAACCGUAAUUACAUUGAAAUUAACUUGAACAUGAGUUUAAAGCAGUGAUGGUAAUCGGAGCAUUUUGGGCAUGUGAAACUAAAAGAAACUGAAAAUCAACAUGAUAACACUGACAAUUUGAAGAAUGAUUUGGAUGAGAGUAAAUUAGCUUUCAUGACGUUUAUUAAAUCAGCUACAAGCAUCUUGACAUGGGAGAGGGACAAUGACUUCAAUGUCGAUCCUCAAUUCUACGCCGAGUUCAACAAGUACUUACAAUGAGGAGCGAUCGUGAAUUGAACUCUUCAUCUGUAAAUUCAGACUUGACACGAAUUAAGAAAACUAUCUGUUUGACUUGAAUUCCAGUUCAAAGAUUCGAAACUUGACCCGAACC